UACGAAGGGUGCAAGCGUUGCUCGGAAUUAUUGGGCGUAAAGGGUAGGUAGGUGGUCUCAUUUGUCUGGGGUGAAAUCCUUGAGCUUAACUCAAGAAGUGCCCCAGAAACGGUGAGACUGGAGUCCUGGAGAGGGUCGUGGAAUUCCCGGUGUAGCGGUGAAAUGCGCAGAUAUCGGGAGGAACACCGGUGGCGAAGGCGGUUCUCUGGGCCUUACCUGACGCUGAGGAGCGAAAGCGUGGGGAGCGAACAGG
rnacentral:rRNA from 1 species